GUGGUGCACCCAGACUUCAAACCUGAAGAAGUUGGCA
rnacentral:tRNA from 9 species